GAUUAACGCUAGCGGCAGGCCUAAUACAUGCAAGUUGAACGGCAGCGGGUCCAGCAAUGGAUGCCGGCGAGUGGCGCACGGGUGCGUAGCGCGUAUGCAACCUACCUUUAACUGGAGGAUAGCCCCGAGAAAUCGGGAUUAAUACUCCAUAAAAUUAUGAAGAGGCAUCUCUUUAUAAUUAAAGCUCCGGCGGUUUUAGAUGGGCAUGCGUGACAUUAGCUUGUUGGUGAGGUAACGGCUCACCAAGGCGACGAUGUCUAGGGGUUCUGAGAGGAUUUUCCCCCACACGGGUACUGAGACACGGACCAGACUCCUACGGGAGGCAGCAGUAAGGAAUAUUGGGCAAUGGGCGCAAGCCUGACCCAGCCAUGCCGCGUGAAGGAUGACGGCCCUAUGGGUUGUAAACUUCUUUUGUACGGGAAAAAACCCCCGGUCGUGAACCGGGGUUGAUGGUACCGUAAGAAUAAGCAUCGGCUAACUCCGUGCCAGCCGCCGCGGUAAAAC
rnacentral:rRNA from 1 species